GUGGGAUCAGUACAAGAGCUUCUAAAUAUAAUAAGAGUACAAAAGUGAACUAUCGAGAGAAUUAUCCUGAUGCAACUUAUCUCUGCAUGCAACAUAGAGAUUAGUCUAAUACAUAAGAGAGAGAUGAGUAAUACUCCGAACGUUAGGAGCUCACUCUAAGUCUCUAAAUCAUGGUUGCUCUGCACGAGACACACGCCAAUAAAGAUAACUAGUAAUAUGAUCUGCAACCUGCUGAAGUGUAGUAUGAGUACAAAAUUAAUGGUACUCAGUAGCCAACUGCUAGCUGAGCCCCAAUGAUAAAGCAAAUAUAUACACCAUAUAAAUAGAAUGAAAACUACACCCAAGAGUCUAGAAAUCAUAUCACAAGUCAAUUAGAUAAUAAGGAACAACUAUCCUGUUUAGGUCCAAGAGACUAACAUAAUAAGACUAAGGAAGCAUCAAGGGUGAACUAUUCUAUUCGAGCUACAUUCAAUAGACGUCAAUGUUAUACUAUAUAUCCCAAGUCAUUAUAUGAAUAAAGGGCAAAUGAAAGAUAUAUAGCAAUAUACAAGGCGAAGAAACAAAUCUAUAGUAAGAACAAAUGAAGGGGGGAUAUGCAAUAAUUCCAUAGCUUCAUAUAGCUAUACAUAUAUAUACAUAUAUAUAUAUAUACAUACAUAUAUAGACGUAAGGCCAUCUCAAAGCAUAACCUAGAUCAUCAUAUUCUCAUUUUAAGACCUUAUUAGAAUACUAUCAGGAUUUAAUACCAUCAUACUAAAGGUUUCUAACCCACAUGGCUAGACAUGAUAUAAUCAUGCAUAACAAUGCAAUCACAAGAUAGAAGAGGCCGAAUACAUACCUUAAAUCCCAAUACUAGAUCAAUGACUAAUCUAUCAUAAGUUAGCCAUAUAAUAACAAUAUCAAUAUCAGUGUGAAUAAUCGGCUACUCCGAACAACCGAAUACCUAGCCGAGCAUAUGCGUACCCCCACCUCCCCAGACUAGAAAGUUUCAAUCAACACACAACAACACAAGGCAUAUUCUUCACCCAUAUCUAUGCAACCAUUUCAUACCGAUUGAAAGACAUAAGAGCAUACUGGUGAUAGGCGAUGCGCAUGUAGGAAUGAAUGCAACGUACAUAAUCAAUAUCAUAACUUAUCAUAACUGUCAUCAUCAUGACCAUUAUCAUCGUAAUCAACGUCUGGCCUUGUCAGGUAUUAAUAUCUCAUCAUAGUAUCAUCUGGCAUUGCCGGGUAUCAAUGUAUCACAAUAGUAUCUUCCGACCUUGUCGGGCAUCAAUAUAUCACCAUAGUAUCCUCCGGACUUGUUAGGUAUCAAUAUAUCAUCAUAGUAUCCUUCGGCCUUACCGGAUAUCACUAUAUUGUUAUAGUAUCCUCCGACCUUGCCGGGUAUCAAUAUAUCAUCAUCAAUUAACGUAAAAGAAUAACGUAAAUCAAGUACUCAUAACCAUAAACGUAACACCAUAAAGAUAACUAUCUUAUCAAUAUAUUCUAUCUACCCAUUGUUAACUAACUAGUAAUCACUAUUGUAUUGUUAAUUCACUAUCCAUCAUCUAGUAAAAUAUCACUAUCAUCAUUCAAACACUUAUUAACCUAUAUUCGUUAAUCAUUAUUAACUAGUGAUCUCUUAUUACUAACCUCAUUAAUACACAAAUCCUCGUUUAAUAACUAAACGACAUCGUAAACUUAGUCAUUAAUAACAACUAAUCUUCACCUAUGCUAAACUCGACAACACCAUUAACCAUACAUCAACUAUCGCUAGGUACCAUAAUUCAACUAAGCAAGGUCCAUUAGACUCCUAGUCAUCAAGUGCUAUAGUCAUCUAAUAGAAAACUAAUUACUACGUAGCUUAACCCUUAAUUAGGAAGAACAGUCAUAAAAUCACAUUGUAUAUAGAAUUGCAUCAAUUAUUGAUAUAAUAAUCAUGAAUGUACCGAAUCUAUGUAUGCCAUCACCAGUAUUCAAUUUGUGAAAAAAUAAGCAUCAUACCGCAUCUUCCUCCAUCCCAUACUGGAGAGAUGUGUAUAUGCACAUACAUAUAAAAUUAUACCGCAUCAUACCGCAUCGGAGUUGUUUUGAAUAUUAAAUUGAUGAAAAACUAGUAAUUCUAAGAUAAGAAUAUUAUUCAAGUGAAAAGGAGUGAAAUUGAGGUUUAAAAUCAAGCCCUAAGAUUUUUGGGGUUUUGAGGAAUUAAUCAAUAAAUUUUACCGAAAAGGGUGAAUUCUUACCUUAAAUUCGUAAAAGAAUCAAGAAAUAGAUGCUAAUCUAGCUUUUCGAACUUCCACUAGUUUCACUUUUAAGCUCCGACACUAUUUUAGGGUUUAACUCUCAAGAGGAAAGAUGAAAAAUAAGCAAAAUGAGCUCAAAACUACUUUAAAUAGUGUAGAAAAAUCUGCACAGCUUUUCCCCCUUCCGAGACGGACUUCGACGAGGUGCCCGGAAUUCAUUCGGAGUCCAAUAUACGCAAACGAACUAUGUAACCAUACUAAAUUCGACGCUCCAAACUCAAUGACAGUAUCAAAUUUUUGAAAAAAUAUCGUUUUCAAAAAAUUGACCCCCAAAACUCGAAAUCACAAUUUUCCAAAUCGUGGGUCGAAAUGAGCUCGGUGCAUUGUGAUCCGAACAACAGGUCUAUCUAACCUAAAAUCGACAUUCUAGAUUUGUUGGUGCAAUUGAAAUUUGCAUUCGAGAUUGUUUCACUAAAGUUUUCUCCCGGUGGCAAUUUGAAACCAACAAAGAAUUCAAAACAAGAAAUUGGCUCUAAAACCAAAUAAAUUGCCCGGUAAUCGAACCGUCAGUUCCAACAAGUCAUAAAUGACUUGGGACAUCUAUGGAGAAGCUCAAAUGACGGAAAUAAGUGUAAAUAUGAAAAAUGACCUGAAGAAUCAUUACAUAAGCAUAUAAUAAGUUCUUGUGAUCCGGCCUUCCUUAAUCCCCAGUCCCCAAAUUUUAGUGCACCGGAUUUUUUCUUUUUAAUCAUCGUUCUUUGAGCCCAAUUUAUUUCUACAUUUUAGGUAAAAAGAUCCGACAUGUAUACAAUGAUAUUUUUCCAGUGACAUGCAAUACUUUGUGUGCAUAUAGUUGUUUGUCCUUUGUGCCCAAAGAAAUAUCUAGGGUGGUUCUGAUCUUCAAUGAUAUGAUUUUAUGUGUGUAGAGUUGAUUUGUGUAAAACGUGAUCUGCACCCCUCUAGUUCUCUAAUCUCUUUCCGUUUUGUUAUACUUUUGCUGGAUUUUUAAAAAUACACCAUUUUUAAAGAUCCCGACAUGCAGCUAAUGAUAUUUUAGAAGAUUGCCAACAUAAAUUAUGCCAAUGUAUUUUCAAAGAUGGCCACCUUGUUGGUUGGUCUUUUGUUUUUCUGAAAUGGUAAACUAAAAAUAUCAAGAUAAAAAAUAAUAUUAAUUAAUUAUAUAUCUCUGCGCUAAGAAAAAUUAAUCUAAGUUGGAGAGAUGGUAUAUGGGUUGGCUUUAAUUACCUUCGAGUCUUUCUGUUGUCCAUCCUGUAUUUCAUAUUUGAAUACGGCAGUACCUUUUAGAUGUUGUUAUGGAAUUCGGUUGACU
rnacentral:lncRNA from 1 species